rnacentral:rRNA from 1 species
GACGAACGCUGGCGGCGUGCUUAACACAUGCAAGUCGAACAGUGGCGAACGGGUGAGUAACACGUGAGUAACCUGCCCUCCACUUUGGGAUAACUCCGAGAAAUCGGGGCUAAUACUGGAUCGUGGGGGAUGGGCUCGCGGCCUAUCAGUUUGUUGGUGAGGUAGUGGUCACCAAGGCGUGACGGGUAGCCGGCCUGAGAGGGCGACCGGCCACACUGGGACUGAGACACGGCCCAGACUCCUACGGGAGGCAGCAGUGGGGAAUAUUGCACAAUGGGCGAAAGCCUGAUGCAGCGACGCCGCGUGUGUGAAGAAGGUCUUCGGAUUGUAAAGCACUUUAAGUUGGGAGGAGUUAAUACCUUGCUGUUUUGACGUUACCAACAGAAUAAGCACCGGCUAACUACGUGCCAGCCGCCGCGGUAAUAC